rnacentral:rRNA from 1 species
UACGUAGGGUGCAAGCGUUGUCCGGAAUUAUUGGGCGUAAAGGGCUCGUAGGCGGUCCAUCACGUCGGGAGUGAAAAGCUGGGGCUUAACCCCAGUCCUGCUUCCGAUACGGGUGGACUAGAGGUAGGCAGGGGAGAACGGAAUUCCUGGUGUAGCGGUGAAAUGCGCAGAUAUCAGGAGGAACACCGGUGGCGAAAGCAGGUACCUGGACUAUUACUGACACUCAGCUGCGAAAGCUAGGGGAGCAAACAGG